rnacentral:rRNA from 1 species
GGAGGGGGCGAGCGUUAUUCGGAAUUAUUGGGCGUAAAGGGCGCGUAGGCGGCCUGGUCAGUCGAAGGUGAAAUCCCCGAGCUCAACUUGGGAACUGCCUUCGAUACUGCCGGGCUUGAGUCCGGGAGGGGAGAGUGGAAUUCCCAGUGUAGCGGUGAAAUGCGUAGAUAUUGGGAGGAACACCGGUGGCGAAGGCGGCUCUCUGGACCGGUUCUGACGCUGAGGCGCGAAAGCGUGGGUAGCAAACAGGAUUAGAUACCCUGGUAGUCCACGCCGUAAACGAUGGCGACUAGGUGUGGGGGGGGUUAGUCCCUUCCGUGCCGCAGCUAACGCAUUAAGUCGUCCGCCUGGGGAGUACGGCCGCAAGGUUG